rnacentral:lncRNA from 7 species
CUCUGUGUACGGGAGACAAUCUAACGAGACACCGACCAGGAGGGCGGGCGCAACCGGCGCGGCACCAACCGGGACGGGCGUGGCCGCGUGGGGCUAUCGCGGCUGCUGUCCAAGGCAGACGCGUGCGCGGGGGUCCUGAAGCGCGGCCAGUGCAAGCGCGCAUGGCAGCUGGGGCGGGCGCGGCGGCGUGAGACGAGACCGGCGGAGACAGUGGCAGUGGCGAGCGUGCGGCCGACCGGCAAGGGCCACGCGGGGCUGGCUGCCAAGGGCGGACGCGCGACCGGCCGGGGGCGAGGCGAGGUAGGUCGAUGGUGUUUGACUAAAACAAUUUAGAUUCGAAUCUAAUAAAUCCAAAGACUGUGUAAAGUAUCUAAAUUAAACCGCUCGUCUCUUUCUAUGCCUCUCGCUUUCAUGGUCACAUCCUGCUGGUUUCCAGUUCCAGUCAGUAGUCAUCUGAACUGAUCGGUGAUGCAUUCCCCUUU